CCUACGGGUGGCUGCAGUAAGGGAUAUUGGUCAAUGGGGGAAACCCUGAACCAGCAACGCCGCGUGAGGGAAGACGGUUUUCGGAUUGUAAACCUCUGUCCUCUGUGAAGAUGAUGACGGUAGCAGAGGAGGAAGCACCGGCUAACUACGUGCCAGCAGCCGCGGUAAUACGGAGGGAGCGAGCGUUGUCCGGAUUUACUGGGGGUAAAGGGUGCGUAGGCGGGUUUGCAAGUCAGUCGUGAAAUCCAUGGGCUUAACCCAUGAACUGCUAUUGAAACUGUGGAGCUUGAGUGAAGUAGAGGUAGGCGGAAUUCCUGGUGUAGCGGUGAAAUGCGUAGAGAUCAGGAGGAACACCAAUGGCGAAGGCGGCCUACUGGG
rnacentral:rRNA from 1 species